UAGCAAGUCGAGCGAAUCGAUGGGAGCUUGCUCCCUGAGAUUAGCGGCGGACGGGUGAGUAACACGUGGGCAACCUGCCUAUAAGACUGGGAUAACUUCGGGAAACCGGAGCUAAUACCGGAUACGUUCUUUUCUCGCAUGAGAGAAGAUGGAAAGACGGUUUCGGCUGUCACUUAUAGAUGGGCCCGCGGCGCAUUAGCUAGUUGGUGAGGUAAUGGCUCACCAAGGCGACGAUGCGUAGCCGACCUGAGAGGGUGAUCGGCCACACUGGGACUGAGACACGGCCCAGACUCCUACGGGAGGCAGCAGUAGGGAAUCUUCCGCAAUGGACGAAAGUCUGACGGAGCAACGCCGCGUGAACGAAGAAGGCCUUCGGGUCGUAAAGUUCUGUUGUUAGGGAAGAACAAGUACCAGAGUACUGCUG
rnacentral:rRNA from 2 species